GGAGUGGGCUGCAGCUCAGUGGUAGAGCAUCUGCUUCGCAUGCAGAAGGUUCCAGGUUCAAGCCCUGGCCUCGCCA